GAUGAACGCUAGCUACAGGCUUAACACAUGCAAGUCGAGGGGCAGCGGUAUCGAAAGCUUGCUUUCGGUAGCCGGCGACCGGCGCACGGGUGAGUAACGCGUAUCGAACCUGCCUCAUACUCGGGAAUAGCCUUGCGAAAGUAAGAUUAAUGCCCGGUUUUUUCAGAGUCCCGCAUGAGGCUUUGAACAAAGAUUUAUCGGUAUGAGAUGGCGAUGCGUCCCAUUAGCUUGUUGGCGGGGUAACGGCCCACCAAGGCAUCGAUGGGUAGGGGUUCUGAGAGGAAGCUCCCCCGCACCGGAACUGAGACACGGUCCAAACCCCUACGGCAGGCAGCGGUGGCGAAUAUUAGGCAAGAGGCGGAAGCCUACACCAGCCAAGUGGCGUGCCGGAAUACGGCCCUCCGAAUGGUAAACUACUUGUCGUUGAGAAUAAAACGAGGCACGUGAGCCCCCUUGCAUGUACCAUCAGAAAAAGGACCGGCUAAUUCCGUG
rnacentral:rRNA from 1 species